CAAAAAUAGCAUUUCUUACAAAAUGAACACAUUUUUUGGAACCCAAAAAGGUUUUAAGUUAGAGUGAUAAAAUAGAAAUUGUAACCGACCGACACACACUGAAGAUGGAACACGAGGCGUUUGCUUUCUUAAUUUUGUGCCUGGCACGUCGAAAGGUAGAGAGACACCAAGGGAUAAUGCCAGGGAGGAGUUACCAGGAUAUUAAGGUAACAAAACCCAAGAGCCAAGCUGAAGGUACUCAUUAAGGAGAACAUGGGGAAGGGAGAAGAGAGGACUGACAAUGGCGUAACUAUAGGUUAAUAGAGAGAAUACCAAUACAAAUUGGGAGAGACCCCAAACCAGGGGGUUAGCAGGGAAAGGAACGGAUGCCAGCAGAUUAUUAUGGAAGAAAAGCCACAGAAGUCUCAGGUAUAAUACAGGAGCAGAGAUUGCCCUGCAGCUUCCAGACAUCUGUUUCUGGACUUCUCAGAAGAUGUUCCUUCUGCUGCUCUUCUGCUCUCUGAUUUGGAAAGUAUUCGCACAGGCUGCAGCCCCGCCGAUCCUAAUGGCUGCAUCUCGGAUGUGGUGAACACCAAAGUCUUCCAGAUGAGACGGGCAGGUUAUGAGAUGAAAAUCAUAGCUUCGGCCAAAAUAACAGAGGACGGGACAGGUGUGGAACUGACCGGUGAAGGUUCUUCUGAGAUCAAGAGCACCUUGGCUAAAGUAAUUUUACUAAAUUACUUUAGUUUU